rnacentral:rRNA from 1 species
GUCCACGCUGUAAACGAUGGACACUAGGUGUCGGGGGUAUCCAUUCCCUCGGUGCCGCCGCUAACGCAUUAAGUGUCCCGCCUGGGAAGUACGGUCGCAAGAUUAAAACUCAAAGGAAUUGACGGGGGCCCGCACAAGCGGUGGAGCAUGUGGUUCAAUUCGAUGCAACGCGAAAACCUUACCUGGGUUUGACAUCUGGCGAAUUUUUUCGAAAGGAAAAGUGCCCGCAAGGGAACGCCAAGACAGGUGCUGCAUGGCUGUCGU